rnacentral:lncRNA from 1 species
CCAAAUCACUUAUUCACCGGAUUUCCAUGGGCUCAUUGCAUCACUCUCCAUCUUCUCCUCUAUCCAUGCCCGAGGUAGAAUUCCUUCAAUCUGUAGAGAUGGGAUUAGACCCAUGAGUUGAAAAACUCAAUAGGUGUCAUAGGUGCAUUCGUGAUCAAGCUAUACAUUUCAAAACAUUAUCUUUAUAACUUUUCAUACAUGCCGUACCCGGAAGCACCAUUUGACAUGAAGGGGUAUGCCGUACCCGAGGGCACCAUUUGACAUACGAACAUUUCUUCAACAUAGAGGGGUAUGCCGUGCCGGAGUUCCAUUUGACAUACAAACAUUAACAUGAAUCGAAACUUAUAACUUAACACGAUUAAACACAUUUUACAUCUACCUACCUUGAUUGAUUCUUUUGAAACUUUGAAAACUUGGAUUGAGAACUUCGAUGAAACUUGAACGUUGAAAGAAAUGCACUCCUUGGAUGUUUGAAAACUGUUAAGAAUUGAUGCUUGUAAACACUUCUUAAAUUUCUAGGAAAAAUAGUUUUCCUCCCUCUCUCUCUCUUGGAAACUCUUUCUUUAGUAUGUAAAAGCUCUUACUUUUGGUGUGAGAAAAAAUGAGUGAAAUGAGAUCUCUAUUUAUAGGUAAAUAUUCCAUAACUUAAAGCAAAUGAAGGGUCAAAUUUCAUUUACGAGAGAAAACAUGGGUGUCAUUUAAGUUUGAGGUCAAAUGUUUCAAUUUAUUGGCGUUUUUUAUUGCCAAAAACAUGGGUGGCCCUUUGAGAAAAUAAUUGAUGAAAAUAAAUAUUUAAAUUCUAGAGAAAAACGAGAAUUUUCUUUUAACGCAGUCGACCGGUUGUAGUCCGAUUGAUACUGCACAGCUUUCAGUGUUUCUAUCAUAACUUCUUCUCCCGAUAUCCGAUUGAGGUAAUUCAAAGUGCGUUGUAAAGCUAACUCAAAGAGCUAGAACUUUUAUUUAGAUAUUAUUUUCCAAAUCGAAUGUUUCCUAUGUCGAAGUGAGUCUCAAAUGAGACUAAAAAUUUGAAGUAUACUUUAGUCAUCCAAUAUUCAUGUCUUAGUGCCACUAAGGUGUCUAGAAUUAUUUGGGGUUCUACAUCCCCCACACCUUAAUUAAAAUUUCGUCCUCAAAAUUUACUUUCUGAUUGAACGAAUAGUGUUGGAUACUUGUCUUUGGCUUCUUCUUCUUUUUCCCAAGCGGCUUCUUCUAUGCCAUGAUGAUUCCACUGUAUCUUAACCAGCUGAAUCUCUUUAUUCCUUAGUUUAUGCACUUUUUGAUCCAAUAUCUUGAUUGGUAGUUCUUCGUACGACAAAUCUUUCUGUACCUCCAAGGUUUGAUAACUCACUACAUGACUAAAAUCACGUACAUACUUCUUUAUCAUUGAUAUAUGGAACACAUUGUGCACUGCCGAUAAUUCAGGUAGCAAAGCUAGUCGGUAAGCCACAUUUCCGACUCUAUCAAGUAUCUCGAAAGGUCCGAUAUACCGGGGUCGUAGCUUGCCUUUCUUUCCAAACCUAAGUACACCUUUCAUCGGUGCUACUUUUAGAAACACUUUAUCCCCAACUUGGAAUUCUAAAUCCUUCCUCCUUGUAUCUGCAUAGCUUUUUUGUCGAUCCUGUGCUGCAUUUAUUCUUGGACGGAUCUUAUCGAUUACCUCGACCGUCCUUUCAACUGUUUCUGGUCCUAAAACUCUCUUCUCUCCGACUUCAUCCCAAUGAACAGGGGAUCUACGUCUUCUACCAUAGAGAGUUUCGUAUGGUGCCACUCCAGUAGUUGCUUGAAAACUGUUAUUAUAAGUGAACUCUACUAGAGGUAAGUAUGACUCUCAAUUACUAUGACUCCCAAUUACCUCCCAAAUCCAAAACACAUGUUCUCAGCAUGUCUUCCAAAGUUUGGAUGGUCCUUUCAGACUGAUCAUCGGAUUGAGGGUGAUAUGCUGUACUAAAGUUGAGCUUCGUUCCCAUAGCUCCUUGUAGACUUUUCUAAAAUUUGGACGUGAACCUUGGGUCUCUGUCAAACACAAUGGAUACAGGUACACUGUGUAAUCUCACAACCUCUUUAAUGUACAACUGUGCCAAUUAGUCUAAACUGAAUGUCAUUUUCACUGGAAGAAAAUGAGCUGACUUCGUUAGUCGAUCCACUACUACCCAUAUAGCAUUAUUUCCUCUUGUUGACUUCGAGAAUCCAACCACAAAGUCCAUCGUGAUAUUUUCCCAUUUCCAUUCAAGUAUAUCUAGUGGAUUUAACAAUCCAGCUGGUUUUUGAUGUUCUGCCUUAACAUGUUGACAUACCAUGCACUUCUGCAAGUACAACCCUAUACUUCUUUUCAUAUUUCUCCACCAAGAUGUAUCUCGAAAAUCUCGAUACAUUUUCGUACCACCGGGAUGUGAGUUGUACGGGGUGGAAUGAGCUUCUUUCAAUAUCUCGUUUCUCAAGGCUUCAUUCUUAGGCACGCAAAUUCUUCCUCUAAAUAUCAGUGUCUGAUCCUCAGCUAUUCCAAAGUCCUUUUUCUUAUCUGUACCAACUUCAUUCUUAAUCUUCUACAAAAAUGUGUCUUUAUUUUGUGCUUCUAUAAUUCGAUCUCUAAGAGUAGGUCGAAUUAUUAAAGCUGCUAGACGAGCAGUGACUUGUCCUGGUGUGGUAACCACUUCGAUCUGCAACUUUUCCAAGUCCUUAACUAACUCCACUUGAGAGGUGGGUAGUGACGUCAAUUGUCCCAUUGAUUUUCUACUUAGAGCGUCGGUCACAACAUUAGCCUUACCCGGAUGGUAGUGAAUAGUGCAGUCGUAAUCAUUCACCAAUUCCAACCAUCGUUUUUGUCGUAUAUUCAAUUCCUUCUGUAUGAAAAAAUACUUGAGACUUUUGUGAUCUGUGUAGAUAUCACACUUCCGUCCAUAUAAGUAAUGUCGCCAUAUCUUCAAAGUAUGUACUAUCGCUGCAAGUUCUAAAUCAUGCGUUAGGUAGUUCUGCUCAUGUUUCUUCAAUUGUCUUGAAGCAUACGCUAUCACUUUUCCAUUCUACAUUAGUAUACAUCCCAAUCCUCGCUUGGAUGCGUCGUUGUAUAUAACAAACCCUUCCGUACCUUCAGAUAUUGUUAAUACAGGUGCUGAUAUCAACUUCUGCUUAAGUUCUUGGAAACUUUGUUCGCAUUUUUCCGUCCAUUGGAAUUUUACUCCCUUCCUUGUAAGCUGCGUUAUUGGUCCAACUAUUUUGGAGAAUCCUUCUAUGAAUCUCCUAUAAUAUCCAAUCAAUCCUAGAAAACUCCGUAUUUCGCUAGCAUUUGUUGGUGCUUUCCUGUUGGUUACUGCUUCUACUUUUGCUGAAUCUACUUCAAUCCCUUAGGCAGUAACUACAUGUCCAAGAAAUCCAACUCAUUCAAGCUAAAACUCGCACUUCUUGAAUUUGGCAUACAGCUUCUCCUUGCGUAAUACCUCUAAGGCUAUUCUCAAGUGCUUUUCAUGUUGCUCCUUACUCUUGAAAUAUAUCAGAAUGUCAUCGAUGAAGACUAUGACAAACUUAUCCAAGUAUUGAUGAAACACUCGAUUCAUCAGGUCCAUGAACACUACAGGUGCAUUGGUUAGCCCAAACGGCAUCAUCGUAAACUCGUAUUGUCCAUAUCGAGUUCUAAAAGUUGUCUUAGGUAUAUCCUUUGUCUCUACUUUCAGUUGAUAGUAUCCCGAUCGUAAGUCGAUCUUGGAAAAUACCUUAGCUCCUUUCAGUUGAUCUUACAGAUCCUCGAUCCUCGGGAGUAUGUACUUAUUCUUGAUGGUUAAUCGAUUUAUCUCCCUAUAAUCGAUACACAUCCUUAUGCUUCAAUCUUUCUUCUUUACAAACAACACCGGCGUACCCCAUGGAGAUACACUUGGUCGUACAAAGCCCAUAUCUAGGAGUUCUUGCAACUGCUUCUUUAAUUCUUGUAGUUCUUUUGGGGCCAUUCGGUAUGGGGCCUUAGAUACUGGUGCCGCCCCGGGAAUUAGGUCUAUGGUGAAUUCCACUUGUCUAUUGGGUAGAAUACCAGAUAGAUUUUCUGGAAACACAUCUACGAAUUCCCGUACUACUGGUACAUCUUCAACCCUUAUCGUCUCUUGUUUCCCUCAUGAGAUACUUACUAGAUAUCCUUGACAUGUUUCUUUUCUCAAAAUCUUCUCAGCUUGUAAAGUUGAUACUAGUCGAACAAGGGGUUUUGUCUUCAUUCCAAGGAAUGAAAAUGGUUCCUCUCCUGGUUUCUGAAAUGAUACUUCCAUUUCCUUACAUCGAAUGGUGGCGUAAUUACAACCUAACCAAUCCAUGCCUAGUAUUACAUCAAAAUCAUUCAUUUCUAUCAUGUAUAGGUUCGCUUCCAUUGGUUUUCCCUCGACUUCGAUACUUACUGACUUGGCUAUUCUAUCAGUAUUCAAAGGGUUGCCCGAAGGAAUACUAACUUCUAUUGUACCUUCCGACUUAUCACAGGUAAUACUAGAUUUAGCCAUAAAAGUUGUUGAAGCAAAGGAGUGUGUAGCUCUUGAAUCAAACAAUACAUAAGCAGGUGUAUUGGCUAUCAGUAGAGUACCUGCUAUGACAUUAGAGUUUUCCUCUGCAUCCUAUUGAGUCAAUGUAAAAACUCGUGCCUUCCUUUUCUGGUUAUGGUCGCUGUUAUCAUCCUUCUUCUGGGUAUGUGUGGGACAAUCCCUAAUGAUAUGUCCUGGCUUGCCACAUCGGAAACAGACAUUUUUCCCUUGUAAGCACUCGCCACGAUGUGUCCUUCCACACUUAGAACAAGGCACAAUAACGGGCACAAUGCUUUUGCUGGCAUUGGCUCCGCCAUUAGCUUUCUUGUUCUGCCACUUGCCUUUUCCCUUGUCCUGGCCAUUCCAUUUCCUCUUUCCCAUGUUACCAUUGUCCGGUUGAUUGAACAGUUGACCAUGUUGUUCGGCGCUAAUCUUCUGGUACCAAAUAGCAUGAGCUCUUUCCAGCAUUUCAUGGUAUGGUUCAGCCCUUGUUCAAACCUUCGUACCUUCUUAUCUUCCGUAUCCACUAGAUGUGGAGCAUACCUUGAAAGUUGAUCAAACUUCCUCUCAUACUCAGUCAGGAACAUAGUCUUUUACUUGAGUUGGAAGAAUUCACUUUCUUUGUGAUCUCUCAAGGACUGGGGAAAGUACUUGUCCAUUACUUCCCCUUUGAAUUGCUCCCAAGUCAAUUAUGCUUGUUGCUCAGGGGUUCUUGUCCUUGACAUUGAGUCCCACCAGUGACUUGCAUCACCGGAGAUUAUGAACUCAGCACACUGGACUUUCUAAGCGUCCGUGCACCCUAUCAAUCGGAAUAUAUGCUCCAACUUGCGAAGCCACUCCUCGACUGCAAGUGGAUCAGCUGCUCCGUUGAAGGUAGGAGGCUUGUGCCUUCGAAAUUGCUCGACCACUAAAGCAUGGUUUGAAACAUUAGGAGCUAGUGGUAGGGGUUGAGCUUGGUUCGGGUUUUGCCUACCUAGGUCUUGAACCGCUCGGAGGAGAUCUCUUAUCAAGUUUUGAUUUGUGCAGGCUAUUUCCUUUAGACAAAACAUAUGGUUCUUAUUAGGUUCAUUCUUCGAAUACUAAAGCAAAGAAGAUAGUAUUUUAUUUCUUGACAUAAGGGAAGCUAUUAAAAGGAUUUAAAUCUAAUCCCUAUAAGUUCUACGAAUCUUCUUUGGUGGAGCUUCAUCUUCGGAGGAGUCUUCCGCCUCAGGUCCGGACUCUAUGUCCAUCUCAACCUGUGGCUCAGGUUCAGGAUCAUUCUCUAAAUCAUCCUCGAGUUCUUCUUCGGGAUCUUCUUCCUCAACUAAAGGUUCCUCCUCAGGCUCCUCAUGGACUACAUCAUCUCACAAAUAAAUCAGGGUAUGGCAAUACCUCUCAAACUCGAACAGGUUUGGGUUGCCUUCUAACAUUUCAUCCCUAACUGUGACUCCCAUAUCUCCCCAUUGAGGUGGGAGGGAGUGUAUGAGGUUAUUUAUGGCCUCAAUAUGCGUGAUCUCCAUACCAGCAUUAAUCGCUGUCAUGCAUCUCUCAUAGAUGUCAUACACAUGUUCGCUAAGCGGUCGGGUCGGAUCAGUUACAUGGUUUUCAUAGGAAUGAAUAGCAAUUCUACGGUUCAAUGCUUCUCUAUAUGCCCUAACCGUUCUACGAGCCAUAUCUGUUGCAUUUUCACAUACAUCAUACUUUUUCUUUGCUUAAAGAAAACAUGCAAAUAUUUAAACUUUCAUACCAUGCAAUUCCCUUUAAGCCCUUAGUUUUUGCCCAAGUCCAUUACAUAUCUUUAAAUAACACAUCUCUAAAUCAUAACAAACCAUCAUAACAUAAACAUAAUCAUUAACUUUAAACAUGAACAUACCUGGGCCAUAGGAUGAGGUUGAUGGAUGGAUGCACGAUGCCAUGGAAUGCCUUAAACUUUUCAUUUUCCUUUUUGUUUUUAAAAAAAAAUACUUGGUCUACAGAACCGGCUCAACCUUGCUCUGAUACCACGCUGAAACGCCCCGACCCCUAGUGGACCGGAACGCUACUUACAUUACUUAGCUUAACCGGUGGUUUAGUAACAAGUGUAUACGUUUUAGCGGAAGCUUACAUCUUCGGAUAAUAAUUUAAAUAACAAUACUUCAAAUACUUUAAACAAAAAUACUGAAUCAUUUUUCAAAACAACAAAAUGUAAUUUAUUUGAAGAAACAUAACUUGUUCUCGCAUUCUGCGUUAUUCAAAACUUUAAAGAAAUAACAUUGGAAAACAUUUCAUAGAAAUAAAUCCAAAUCACUUAUUCACCGGAUUUUCAUGGGCUCGUUGCAUCACUCUCCAUCUUCUCCUCCAUCCAUGCUCGAGGUAGAAUUCCUUCAAUCUGUAGAGAUGGGAUUAGACUCAUGAGUUGAAAAACUCAAUAAGUGUCAUAGGUACAUUCGUGAUCAACCUAUACAUUUCAAAACAUUAACUUUAUAACUUUUUAUACAUGCCGUACCCGGAAGCACCAUUUGACAUGAAGGGGUAUGUCGUACCCGAGGGCACCAUUUGACAUACGAACAUUUCUUCAACAUAGAGGGGUAUGCCGUACCGGAGUACCAUUUGACAUACAACCAUUAACAUAGAGGGAUAUGUCGUACCGGAGUACCAUUUGACAUACAAACAUUAGCAUGAAUCGAAACUUAUAACUUAACAUGAUUAAACACAUUGCAUCUCUACCUACCUUGAUUGAUACUUUUGAAACUUUGAAAACUUGGAUUGAAAAUUUCGAUGAAACUUGGACGUUGAAAGAAAUGCACUCAUUGGAUGUUUGAAAAUCGUUGAGAAUUGAUGCUUGGAAACACUUUUUAAACUUCUAGGAAAAAUAGUUUUCCUCCCUCUCUUUUUCUCUCUUGGAAACUCUUUCUUUAGUAUGUAAAAACUCUUGCUUUUGGUGUGAGAAAAAAUGAGUGAAAUGAGGUCUCUAUUUAUAGGUAAAUAUUCCAUAACUUAAAGCAAAUAAAGGAUCAAAUUUCGUUUAAGAGAGAAAACAUGGGUGCCAUUUAAGUUUGAGGUUAAAUGUUUCAAUUUAGUGGGGUUUUUUAUUGCCAAAAACGUGGGUGGCCUUUUGAGAAAAUAAUUGAUGAAAAUAAAUAUUUAAAUUCUAGAGAAAAACGAGAAUUUUCAUUUAAGGCAGUUUCGGUUGACCGGUUGUAGUCCGGUUGACACUGCACAGUUUUCAGUAUUUCUAUCAUAACUUCUUCUCCCGAUAUCCGAUUGAGGUAAUUCAAAGUGCGUUGGAAAGCUAACUCAAAGAGCUACAACUUUUAUUCAGAUAUGAUUUUCCAAAUCGAAUGUUUCCUAUGUCGAAAAUGAGUCUCAAAUGAGACUAAAAAUCUGAAGUAUACUUUAGUCAUCCAAUAUUCAUGUUUUAGUGCCACUAAGGUGUCUAGAAUUAUUUGGGGUUCCACAUGACGUCGUUGGAUUGGAGAUGGGUGACGACGACACUUCUUCUACUGGCUUCACUCCGGCACUGAUGGUCUCAUUUUUUCCCCUAAUUGUUGAGGCCGUGGUUGAGAUGUGAGAAUAGAUAGAGAGAGAAGUGAGGUAAUUUAAGUUAAUUUAGAGAGAGAAGUAAUGUUUAAUUAUUAUUAUUAUUAUUAUUAUUAUUAUUAUUAUUAUUAAUAUAUAUUAAUAAAAAGUUCUGAUUGUGAAAUACUAAACAUGCCAUCUGAUUCAUGAAAUGGGAAUUUCAAAUCUAUUAGAAUAUGUAAUUUCCACUUAAAAAUAGUACUCGGUUGUCCAACUGCAGCAGAUUUUUAAUUCUUUCUUUUUUUGUUCAAAAGAAGUGGGAAAAAUCUGAAUCGAUGAGACCACCUAAAAAGGGGAGAAACUUGUGUUGCGAUUAAGCGCACAAUUAUGUGCAAACAUGGCAUAAAAUUGUCUAUGAUACAAUGACUUUAUAUUCUCACCCACAAGACUACGAAGUAGACUACCCAAAGAGUGAGUCACUUUGUGUAAACAACAGUAAAAUCCAAUCGACAAAUCCAACAAACAUAUAACUAUAUACAUACAUGCAUACGUUAUAAAUACACACAGAGAGAUAGAUACUUGGGAGUUCCCAUCUUCAUUUUCUUGGUUCUUGAUAAAAAAUAAAAAAAAAAACCUUUGUCGAAGCUUUGUCGAAUCGCUUUGGCGCUAGGCAAUGGUUAAUUCUUAUACCAGCCACUAAGAAAGUGCGGCAAUUACAUUAAUAUCCCUACCUUAUUCGGUUCCAUGUCGCAAUUCCAAGGGUUUUCCUAAAGGGCUUGCUGUUUUUCUUCAUUUCAUUUUACACCAUAAAAAUUUGUAAGAGUGUGCUUGAUUGCAAGGAAUUUGAAUGAAUAGUUUUAUACGUUCGUCAAAGUUGAUAAUAUAUUGUUGCGAAACCAUUGAAUGACUCUUUUGUAAAGAAAAUUGGUUGACACAAUCGCAAUAAUGAAAUAUAUAUUUCUUGUAAAUUUCAUUUUAUAUAAUUUCAAGAUGUCUAUGUUCAACACUUUUUACUUGUAGUUAUUAUUUUUGGUUUUUUACUUAUAUUUUUGUUGAACAAGUGAUCCCCUGAAUUUUUACAGUCAACACAUACAUAUUAGUCAACAUAUGACGGGAUUUGCAUGUGCAACUAAUAAAACUUAUAAGUCUUAGAAUAUUAAAAUUUUCGACCUGGAAGUGUGCGGGCUUUUCAUGUGUUACAAAACUUGUAGUCGAUUUUUGUAGACUAGCAAGAUGCAAUUUACUUGGGCAUCAUUUUUUAUUCAUAAAAUUCUAAAUCAAAAACUUGGAAUGGGUCGAUACUUUCGAUUAAGGAUGUCAAAACCAGCCAUAUCGAUUAUGUAGGUAGGUAGCUCGAUCUAUGUAAGGGCUUUAAUUGACACGAUCCUUAUAUGAUCUAUGAUAUUUUAUUUGAUACUUGUUCAUUUGAAUUUAUUAUUAUUAUUAUUAUUUUUAAAUAUGAAAAGCGGCUAUGCAAAUUCGGGCUUAAAGGUUUAACUCACAAGGUUUUUGCUCUGAUGAACUCUCAAAACAAUUUAUUAGGAAAAAAAUAACAAAAUAUAAUGUUUAUCUAGUUGAGAAACAUGUAUGAAAAUAUAGAUAAAAUCAAGCAAACAAAACUUUGAAUCUAAUUACAUUAUAUAUAAUGUUUAUUCAAUUGGGUGACCCAAUUUUGGCUACUUGCCUCUCGAAAUUUCUUGGAAAAUAAUAAUCUAACCAAAUCAUAGCCAAUUCAUAACUGCUGUAAACAACAUCACAUAAAGUAAUUUGAUACAUUACACAACAAUCUUUGAUGUUAUUAUUUGAGAAGCCUUUAAAAAAGUUAAUUAGACCCCUCAAAUGCUCAUCACACUCUGAACGACUUGAUCUAACAAAUCGAUACUAGAUUUAUUGAUAAUAAGAUUUAAUUUUACAUAUAACAGUCUUUAUCAAAUAACUAGUACAUCAGACCGUACCUUGAUUUAAUUUGAUUUCUUAAUCGGAACCAAGCUUGCGGUCGAGGAAGUAAUCGCUUUGGUGUUGAUGGUGGUGAUUUUGGGCUGUUUUGGCUCGUCUGAUUCAUCGGUAUUUCGGGAUUUCACCAGAGGGAUUUGCUGUUGAGUAGCAAUGUCUCGGCCGGCGAACUUUUGAGGAGGAAAGAAGAAAUCAGUGGGGAAGAAUUUGUACUGAAGUCCAGCCAUGGGUGUAUAGAAAUGAGAUAUUUG